rnacentral:rRNA from 1 species
GAUGAACGCUGGCGGCGUGCCUAAUACAUGCAAGUCGAGCGAACGGACGAGAAGCUUGCUUCUCUGAUGUUAGCGGCGGACGGGUGAGUAACACGUGGAUAACCUACCUAUAAGACUGGGAUAAUUUCGGGAAACCGUAGCUAAUACCGGAUGAUAUUUUGAACCGCAUGGUUCAAAAGUUAAAUACGGUCUUGCUGUCACUUAUAGAUGGAUCCGCGCUGCAUUAGCUAGUUGGUAAGGUAACGGCUUACCAAGGCAACGAUGCAUAGCCGACCUGAGAGGGUGAUCGGCCACACUGGAACUGAGACACGGUCCAGACUCCUACGGGAGGCAGCAGUAGGGAAUCUUCCGCAAUGGGCGAAAGCCUGACGGAGCAACGCCGCGUGAGUGAUGAAGGACUUCGGAUCGUAAAACUCUGUUAUUAGGGAAGAACAUAUGUGUAAGUAACUGUGCACAUCUUGACGGUACCUAAUCAGAAAGCCACGGCUAACUACGUG